GAUUAGAACCAGAGCAACAGACAGUGACGGCCUCCUGCACUGAUGGCUACUGCAUCAUUUUGACAAAAAAUUAAACAAGAUGCCACUGAGACCCUGAAAAACCAAAUGACUCACUGCAGAAACAGAAAUUUAAAUUUAGAAU